UUCAGAGGGCUCGGUCAGCGACAGUGUUUCAGAGAUGCUCGGUCAGCGACAGUGUUUCAGAGAUGCUCGGUCAGCGACAGUGUUUCAGAGAUGCUCGGUCAGCGACAGUGUUUCAGAGAUGCUCGGUCAGCGACAGUGUUUUCAGAGAUGCUCGGUCAGCGACAGUGUUUUCAGAGAUGCUCGGUCAGCGACAGUGUUUCAGAGAUGCUCGGUCAGCGACAGUGUUUCAGAGAUGCUCGGUCAGCGACAGUGUUUCAGAGAUGCUCGGUCAGCGACAGUGUUUUCAGAGAUGCUCGGUCAGCGACAGUGUUUCAGAGAUGCUCGGUCAGCGACAGUGUUUCAGAGAUGCUCGGUCAGCGACAGUGUUUCAGAGAUGCUCGGUCAGCGACAGUGUUUCAGAGAUGCUCGGUCAGCGACAGUGUUUUCAGAGAUGCUCGGUCAGCGACAGUGUUUCAGAGAUGCUCGGUCAGCGACAGUGUUUCAGAGAUGCUCGGUCAGCGACAGUGUUUCAGAGA